rnacentral:rRNA from 1 species
UACGUAGGGUGCAAGCGUUGUCCGGAAUUAUUGGGCGUAAAGAGCUCGUAGGCGGUUUGUCGCGUCUGCUGUGAAAACUCGGGGCUUAACCCCGGGCCUGCAGUGGGUACGGGCUGACUAGAGUGCGGUAGGGGGAGACUGGAAUUCCUGGUGUAGCGGUGGAAUGCGCAGAUAUCAGGAGGAACACCGGUGGCGAAGGCGGGUCUCUGGGCAGUAACUGACGCUGAGGAGCGAAAGCGUGGGGAGCGAACAGG